AACGUAGGGUGCGAGCGUUGUCCGGAAUUACUGGGUGUAAAGGGAGCGCAGGCGGUGGAGCAAGUUGGGUGUCAAAGCCAUGGGCUCAACCCAUGAUCGCACUCAAAACUGCACCACUUGAGUGAAGCAGAGGCAGGCGGAAUUUCCGGUGUAGCGGUGGAAUGCGUAGAUAUCGGAAGGAACACCAGUGGCGAAGGCGGCCUGCUGGGCUUUAACUGACGCUGAGGCUCGAAAGCAUGGGUAGC
rnacentral:rRNA from 1 species